AGCAGUAAGCGAUACCACGGUACAAAAUAGGGUCAGAAGAAACCAACCAGAGAGUGAUUCCAAAUCUCCAAUUAUUUCCCUCUUCAAUCCCCUCUCCAAUCCCAACUUCAUCCUCACUGCAUUCUCCCUUCAGAUUUUGCAGAAAAAAAAGUAAUUAUCAUCUUGUCAUCUCCAUCUUUCAAAAUUUUCCCAAUGGGCCUGCAGAAAAUUUUUCAAUAGUAUAACGCCCUCUUUUUCCUUGUUUUCAUCUCCAUCUUUCAAAUUUCAAAAUGGGAUUUGAUGAAAAUAAUUUGUUUUCAUGAAAAAUCUUCCACCAUCUUAAAUACCGAGACUGAGUUCUGAGUUUUUACUUUGAUGGGUCCAAAUCCAAAGAUGAAAAGGGAAUUUCUUGACUCAACAAGGUCAUCACCAUUCCCAGAUGAAGUACUGGAACGAGUUCUUUCACUCUUGAAAUCACACAAAGAUCGUAGCGCAGUGUCUUUAGUAUGCAAGGACUGGUACAACGCAGAAAGCUGGUCAAGAACUCAUGUUUUUAUAGGAAACUGUUAUUCAGUCUCUCCUGAAAUUGUUGCACGUAGAUUUCCAAUAAUUAAGAGUGUUACUCUUAAAGGGAAGCCAAGAUUUUCUGAUUUUAAUCUAGUGCCUGAAAACUGGGGAGCUGAUGUUCAUCCUUGGCUUGUAGUUUUUGCAACGAAGUAUCCGUUUUUGGAAGAGCUUAGGCUUAAGAGAAUGGCUGUUAGUGAUGAAAGUUUGGAGUUUUUGGCUGUUAAUUUUCCUAAUUUUAAGAUUCUUUCUCUGUUGAGCUGUGAUGGGUUUAGUACUGAUGGGCUUGCUGCUAUUGCCACUCAUUGCAAGAGUUUGACUCAGCUUGACAUACAAGAGAAUGGCAUUGAUGACAAGAGUGGUGGUUGGUUAAGCUGCUUCCCUGAAAACUUCACAUCAUUGGAAGUACUAAACUUUGCCAAUCUGAAUACUGAUGUCAAUUUCGAUGCACUUGAGAGACUUGUAAGUAGGUGCAAGUCACUAAAGGUUCUGAAGGUCAACAAAAGUAUUUCUUUGGAACACCUACAAAGGCUGUUAGUUUCUGCUCCACAAUUAACAGAGCUUGGCACUGGUUCAUUCACACCAGAGCUCACAACUCGGCAGUAUGCGGAGCUUGAAAGUGCAUUUAACCAGUGCAAGAGUUUACAUACCCUUUCAGGUUUAUGGGAGGCAACAGCACUAUAUCUACCAGUUCUGUACCCUGUCUGCUCAAACUUGACUUUCUUAAACCUGAGCUAUACUUUUCUGCAAAGUCUUGAACUUGCUAGUCUUCUCCGUCAAUGUCCACGACUUAGACGCCUCUGGGUCCUGGACACUGUGGGGGACAAAGGGCUGGAGGCUGUUGGAUCCAACUGUCCAUUGCUUGAGGAGCUCCGUGUCUUCCCCGCUGAUCCCUUUGAUGAGGAAAUUAUCCACGGGGUGACUGAAGCAGGGUUUGUUGCUGUCUCUUAUGGAUGUCGAAGACUCCACUAUGUUCUCUACUUUUGCCGGCAGAUGACUAAUGCUGCAGUAGCAACCAUUGUGCAGAACUGCCCUGAUUUCACCCACUUUCGUCUUUGCAUAAUGAAUCCAGGCCAACCGGAUUACUUGACAAAUGAACCUAUGGACGAGGCAUUUGGGGCAGUGGUAAGGACUUGCACUAAACUACAGAGGCUUUCUGUUUCAGGUCUCUUGACAGACCUGACAUUUGAAUAUAUUGGGCAGUAUGCCAAAAAUCUGGAAACUCUGUCUGUGGCUUUUGCGGGCAGUAGUGAUAGGGGGAUGCAGUGUGUGCUAGAAGGUUGUCCAAAGUUGAGGAAACUUGAGAUAAGGGACUGUCCAUUUGGAAAUGCAGCACUUCUUUCAGGUUUGGAGAAGUAUGAGUCUAUGAGGUCACUUUGGAUGUCAGCCUGCAAUGUGACAAUGAAUGGCUGUCGGUUAUUGGCAAGGGAGAUGCCCAGAUUGAAUGUUGAAGUAAUGAAAGAGGAUGGAAGUGAUGACUCUCAGGCUGAUAAAGUUUAUGUUUACCGUUCUGUUGUGGGGCCAAGAAGGGAUGCUCCACCUUGUGUACUCACUCUCUCAGGUUUAUAAAAUAUGCAGGAUCUUGUUUAAAUAACAAGACAAGCCACGGCGUGCAGGGAUUGGGACACAGUUUAUACAACUGGAUGAUGUGGAUGGUUAAAAAGAAGAAAGAUGGACCGCAUGAAACUUGUAUUUGUUCUUCUACUGCUGUUUCCCUUACUGACACAGCAAAUAUGAAAAUAUGGAAGCUAAAUAUACUACAAAGCUUAUGCAUCAACAAUCUCCAGGGCUGGAUACAACUUCUCUUCCCAAACCUUUGAAAAGCAAGAUUGCAAGGUUUCCUAUGCUGAAAUGGAUGAAGCAGCCAUGGUAAUGGGUCACAAAUGAACCAAAAUCCAUCCCCACAAUGCAUUGCCAUCCUGGUCCAUGCACCCUGUCAAAGUCCUGCAAAAACAAGAAUCCCCAAAAUUGGCUUUCUUCAAUUAUUUAAUUCCAAAUAAUCAUCUAGUUACUUUCCAGGAGGUUACCUUCUUUAUGAAGCGGGCAAUAUCAGUGGACUCGGUAACAUCAAAGAUAUCAAGGGCCUUCGCAGCUAAGUGAAGUGCAUCCUGCUGCAUGGUUUGAAGCAUGUCAGUCUCGCCAACAACAGCUUUGCCUUCUAACAUGGUUGAAGGAUGCUUUGUUACUGGGUAUGGCAGAAGAGUUGAAAAGAGAAAGCAGUGGUGUUAGAGGUAUGGCUUCUGCAAGGAUUUUAUAGACCUGUUGACAAAGGAGUGGCCAGUGGGUGCUGGUGCUUAGUCCUACACUGUGUUGGCAGGUUGCAUCAACUGGUGCAAUAGAAGAAUGCCAAGUAUGGCAGACAUAGUCUGCUGGGGCCUGAUGCAUAUCGGUGAUUUGAUCUGGGACCAAUUCUGAUCAAUGGCUCAUGGUUGCUUAGUGUGGAAGGGGUUGUUCUUUGUAGGUCCACGUUAUCUUUGAGAUGUUGGAUGUUUGUGGUUGUAUGACUAGUAUUUGCCAUGAUUUUGCUGGAGAAUGUUGAAAGGUAUUCUUUCCUAUGAAUUUGGGACUUGGACUUGCUGAACGGGGUAGCUUUCCGUGCCAAACUUAUUCCAUUCCUUGCCUUACAGGUUCUCUUACCAACACUGCACAAAAAUUCUUGGGUCCAAACUAUAGGGGUUGCUACAGUGCCUGUAUUUUGGCACAGGCACAGUGCCUGAUUGUCUUGUGCACCCUACGCCACCGUUCCUGAUUUUGUAUGCAAAUCCGGUGGCCUAGAUCGGCACUAGCCCAAAUCGAAGGCAUUUUAGACCCACCCUAUUACAUGUCCCAGUAAAACUUGCAAGAAUAUUUUUCAUGCUGUAAAUUAUAGGCCUUGGCUUUUAGCCUUUAAUGUUUCGGAUUCAAAGCUUUCUGAAAGCUUCGAUAUCAUUUUGUGUCUGUUUUAUUUUCUAAAGGAAUGAUGACUUCGUAGUGGUUUCCA